rnacentral:tRNA from 1 species
CAGAAAGUAGUUUAACAUAAAAUAUUAAUUUUGGAGAUUAAAGACAACUAAUUAUAGCUCUUUCUGA